UGUAAAUGCGUUCCGUUUGUCAUAACGCGUUGUAAAUGCGUCCCGUUUGUCAUAACGCGUUGUAAAUGCGUCCCGUUUGUCAUAACGCGUUGUAAAUGCGUUCCGUUUGUCAUAACGCGUUGUAAAUGCGUUCCGUUUGUCAUAACGCGUUCAAGGAAGGCCUGCAGAAAAUUCAGUCAUUACCGACCGCGAUCACUUCUGGUCUGGGAACGGGUGAGAGUCCACGCCAAAAGACGAACAAUGCCUCUUCAGUUCGUGCCCAACAAAAGAGCGAGGGAACGUAUUUGAGUUUCAGAGCACGUCCUUUCUUACACAGAAGAGUGGACUAACCCCCCCCUAAAAAAAAAAAAAAAAAAAAAAGAACUUGCAGACUCUCAGAGCUUCAAUUGUGCACUCUUUAUUUGGUGCUGUAGAUGUUAUGGGAAAGUUCUCUCUCGCUCACUCUCCCCCCCGCCCCCUUCCUCUCAAUCUCUCCUUCUCUCAUGUGCUCGGAAUAUGCUCAGGGUUAACUCAGAGCAACCGAAGCACGCGUAAUGAAUUGAGUAUUAGCGGCAAUUUUAAAGGAAGGGACGGCCGUGGAAGGCUGGAUAUUUGGCGGACUGUCCAACGGGUCCCACACAGCAUGUAUCUUAUAUGGGAUGAUUUCUGAUUGCAUAUGCCGAUUGCGGCGAUGCUUCUCGCGCAGUUUGAGAAAGUGAGAGAGGAGUCAUCGGGAGCCAGACAGAGAGUACCAGGAUAACGGCUGUGUCCAUGUGUUAAGGAUGACCCACAGAUCACAGAGAUGGAGCAUCUAUCUGCGUGACCCUUUACUGUUGUCUCUAGUGGGGCUCGAGACAUGGGCUUCGAACACCACCUGAACAUCAACAUGCACAACCAUCAAGAUACAGUACGCUGAGAAGACAGAUACAGAACUCUACUAUUUAUAAUCAGCAUGCAUAUAUCUGUUCUAGAUACACAGAAACCACCAAAUACACACUAACAUCCUUUGAAUCAAGUCAGUUUUUUGUAUCAUUGUGAUUUAAAUCUGUAAGUUGUAAAACUGUUUACCAUGUCUACUCACUGGGAUGUAGAAGUACAACAUUAUUUAUUCUGAAUUGUAAAAGUCUGUAUUGGUGUAUUGGAUUUUGAAUUAACCUGUCCUUAGAAUACAGCAUAACAUCUGAAGGGAACCCGCAGGACACAUUGUCUUUAUCUGACAUUGACUGAAUUUAUAGAAAAAGUAAACAUCAAAGGGAAUAUUUUUGUACUUUCUCAAAUCAUUGUAUUUUCUCAAUGAACAGAAUAAAAUAUAUUCAAGAAUAUUUUGUUUCUGAGUUUUUUACAGUAUGUCUACAGUACUGUAUAUACCUUUGACAUGACUAGAUCCUCUGUGGGAUCAAUGUGAA
ensembl:lncRNA